CCCAGACUCCUACGGGAGGCAGCAGUGGGGAAUAUUGCACAAUGGGCGCAAGCCUGAUGCAGCCAUGCCGCGUGUAUGAAGAAGGCCUUCGGGUUGUAAAGUACUUUCAGCGGGGAGGAAGGCGAUAAGGUUAAUAACCUUGUCGAUUGACGUUACCCGCAGAAGAAGCACCGGCUAACUCCGUGCCAGCAGCCGCGGUAAUACGGAGGGUGCAAGCGUUAAUCGGAAUUACUGGGCGUAAAGCGCACGCAGGCGGUAUGGCAAGGCAGGGGUGAAAGCCCCGCGCGGAACGGGGGAACUGCCUUUGAAACUGGAAAAAGGGAGUGGGGGAGAGGAGAGUGGAAGUCCAGGUGUAGGAGCGAAA
rnacentral:rRNA from 1 species